AUCCUACGGGACGCAGCAGUGGGGGAUAUUGCACAAUGGGGGGAACCCUGAUGCAGCGACGCCGCGUGGGCGAUGGAGUGCUUCGGCAUGUAAAGCCCUAUCAGCAGGGAAGAAAAUGACGGUACCUGACUAAGAAGCCCCGGCUAAAUACGUGCCAGCAGCCGCGGUAAUACGUAUGGGGCAAGCGUUAUCCGGAUUUACUGGGUGUAAAGGGAGCGUAGACGGGAAAUUAAGUUAGUUGUGAAAUCCCUUGGCUUAACUGAGGAACUGCAACUAAAACUGAUUUUCUUGAGUACUGGAGAGGA
rnacentral:rRNA from 1 species